AAGUCGUAACAAGGUUUCCGUAGGUGAACCUGCGGAAGGAUCAUUAAAAAAUCGCCUGAGCCGCAAGGCUCUAUUAUCUUGUGAAACGUUGUUGUGGCCUAUUCUGGGAUGCAUAGUGCGUGUGUGCACGAGCGGUUCGCCCGCUGGUGCUGCAGCAGUAGUGUUCCCCUAAGAUGCCACUACAUUUUAUUUAAACAUAUGUUUUUGACGUCGAGGAAUGUAUCUGUAAUACACAUAUACAACUUUCAACAGUGGAUCUCUCGGCUCUU
rnacentral:misc_RNA from 1 species